GGGCCCGCACAAGCGGUGGAGUAUGUGGUUUAAUUCGAUGCAACGCGAAGAACCUUACCAGGGUUUGACAUCCUGCGAAUCUCUUGGAAACAGGAGAGUGCCCUCGGGAACGCAGUGACAGGUGGUGCAUGGCUGUCGUCAGCUCGUGUCGUGAGAUGUCGGGUUAAGUCCCAUAACGAGCGCAACCCCCAUUUCUAGUUGCCAGCGGUUCGGCCGGGGACUCUAGAGAAACUGCCAGCGUAAGCUGUGAGGAAGGUGGGGAUGACGUCAAAUCAUCAUGCCCCUUACAUCCUGGGCUACACACGUACUACAAUGCUACGGACAAAGGGCAGCAAGUUCGCGAGGACAAGCAAAUCCCAUAAACCGUGGCUCAGUUCAGAUCGUAGGCUGCAACUCGCCUACGUGAAGGCGGAAUCGCUAGUAAUCG
rnacentral:rRNA from 1 species